rnacentral:rRNA from 1 species
GACAGAGGGUGCAAACGUUGUUCGGAAUUACUGGGCGUAAAGCGCGUGUAGGCGGCUAAGUAAGUCGGGCGUGAAAUCCCACGGCUCAACCGUGGAAGUGCACUCGAAACUGCAUAGCUAGAGUCCUGGAGAGGAAGGUGGAAUGCUUGGUGUAGAGGUGAAAUUCGUAGAUAUCAAGCGGAACACCGGUGGCGAAGGCGGCCUUCUGGACAGUGACUGACGCUGAGACGCGAAAGCGUGGGGGAGCAAACAGGGAUUAGAAACCCUUGGAUAC